rnacentral:rRNA from 1 species
AUUGAACGCUGGCGGCAGGCCUAACACAUGCAAGUCGAACGGUAACAGGAAACAGCUUGCUGUUUCGCUGACGAGUGGCGGACGGGUGAGUAAUGUCUGGGAAACUGCCUGAUGGAGGGGGAUAACUACUGGAAACGGUAGCUAAUACCGCAUAACGUCGCAAGACCAAAGAGGGGGACCCUCGGGCCUCUUGCCAUCGGAUGUGCCCAGAUGGGAUUAGCUUGUUGGUGGGGUAACGGCUCACCAAGGCGACGAUCCCUAGCUGGUCUGAGAGGAUGACCAGCCACCCUGGAACCUGGGCCCCGUUCCGACUCCUUACGGAAGCAGCAGUGGGGAAUAUUUCACAAUUGGCCCAAACCUUAUGCAGCCAUGCCGCGUGUAUGAAGAAGGCCUUCCGGUUUUAAAAUACCUUCAGCCGGGAGGAAGGGAAUAAAGUUAAUACCUUUUCCCAUUGACCUUACCCGCAGAAGAAGCACCCGCUAACCCCCUG